GACGAACGCUGGCGGCGUGCCUAACACAUGCAAGUCGAGCGAAUGAAGUUCCUUCGGGAAUGGAUUUAGCGGCGGACGGGUGAGUAACACGUGGGCAACCUGCCUCAUAGAGGGGAAUAGCCUUCCGAAAGGGAGAUUAAUACCGCAUAGGAUUGCAGUACCGCAUGAUACAGCAAUUAAAGGAGCAAUCCGCUAUGAGCUGGGGCCGCGGCGCAUUCGUUAGUUGGUGAGGUAACGGCUCACCAAGGCGACGAUGCGUAGCCGACCUGAGAGCGUGAUCGGCCACAGUGGGACUGAGAGCAGGCCCAGACUCCGACGGGAGGGAGCAGUGGUGAAUAUGGUACAAUGGGGGAAACCCUGAUGCAGCAACGCCGCGUGAGUGAUGACGGCAUUCGGGUUGUAAAGCUCUGUCUUCAGGGACGAUAAUGACGGUACCUGAGGAGGAAGCCACGGCUAACUACGUGCCAGCCGCCGCGGUAAAAC
rnacentral:rRNA from 1 species